AUGACUGAAAAAGGCCUGAGCACAGAAGGAACUUGUGAGAGGUUUAUGUGGAUGAAAAAAAAUGUGUGCUUGAACCAGUCUGUCAAAGUAGAAAUAUACAACCUACAGCUUCUGCAACCCAAAAUCCACACAAUAAUGGAAAUAUCGACUGGGAUGAAUAGUAGAAAAGGGGAGCAUCAGUUACCAUUACUUCUUUGCCACCAUCAAGUAACACAGAAUAAAUAUUUGCAUAUAGUUGGCUCUGUGGUUCAGGAAGUAUCCUAUUGUAAAGCCCAAGCAGAGUUUUUGCUUGAUUCUGCAAAGUGA
rnacentral:rRNA from 1 species